rfam:Triticum aestivum genome assembly, contig: Triticum_aestivum_CS42_TGACv1_scaffold_034358_1BL
CAAGUACUCCCUCUGUCCCAAAAUUCUUGUCUUAGAUUUGUCUAGAUACUGAUGUAUCUAAUACUAAAAUGUGUCCUGAUACAUCCGUAUCUAGACAAAUCUAAGACAAGAAUUUUGGGACGGAGGGAGUACUUU